rnacentral:sRNA from 1 species
CCGCCGCCUGCUUCCUCUGCUCGCGGUUAGCCCGUCAGUCCCUGCUCUGUGCGCGCCUCCAUCUAGGCCAUGGAUGGGCUUUCUUAGAAAUGGCUUCUGAGGAAGCUGCCGUUACUAUGGUGAAUUAUUACACUCCUAUUACUCCUCACCUUCGAAGCCAGCCUGUUUAUAUUCAGUAUUCCAAUCACAGAGAACUUAAGACUGACAAUCUACCUAAUCAAGCUCGAGCCCAAGCUGCACUGCAGGCUGUCAGUGCCGUCCAAUCAGGAAGCCUGGCCCUUUCUGGAGGUCCUUCCAAUGAAGGCACAGUCCUACCUGGGCAGAGCCCUGUGCUUCGAAUAAUUAUUGAAAACCUCUUUUACCCUGUUACCCUGGAAGUUCUUCAUCAG